CCUACGGGUGGCUGCAGUGGGGAAUAUUGGACAAUGGGCGAAAGCCUGAUCCAGCCAUGCCGCGUGUGUGAAGAAGGCCUUCGGGUUGUAAAGCACUUUCAGUGGGGAAGAAAGCCUUGGGGCUAAUACCCUCGAGGAAGGACAUCACCCACAGAAGAAGCACCGGCUAACUCCGUGCCAGCAGCCGCAGGUAAUACGGAGGGUGCGAGCGUUAAUCGGAAUUACUGGGCGUAAAGCGCGCGUAGGCGGUCUGAUAAGCCGGUUGUGAAAGCCCCGGGCUCAACCUGGGAACGGCAUCCGGAACUGUCAGGCUAGAGUGCAGGAGAGGAAGGUAGAAUUCCCGGUGUAGCGGUGAAAUGCGUAGAGAUCGGGAGGAAUACCAGUGGCGAAGGCGGCCUUCUGGACUGACACUGACGCUGAGGUGCGAAAGCGUGGGUAGCAAACAGGAUUAGAUACCCUUGUAGUC
rnacentral:rRNA from 1 species